rnacentral:rRNA from 1 species
CCUACGGGCGGCAGCAGUGGGGAAUAUUGGGCAAUGGGCGCAAGCCUGACCCAGCAACGCCGCGUGAAGGAAGAAGGCUCUCGGGUUGUAAACUUCUUUUUUUAGGGACGAAGCAAGUGACGGUACCUGAGGAAUAAGCCACGGCUAACUACGUGCCAGCAGCCGCGGUAAUACGUAGGUGGCAAGCGUUAUCCGGAUUUACUGGGUGUAAAGGGCGUGUAGGCGGGACUGCAAGUCAGAUGUGAAAGCCACGGGCUCAACCUGUGGCCUGCAUUUGAAACUGUAGUUCUUGAGUACUGGAGAGGCAGGCGGAAGUCCUAGUGUAGCGGUGAAAUGCGUAGAUAUUAGGAGGAACACCAGUGGCGAAGGCGGUCUAUUGGACAGCAACUGACGCUGAGGCGCGAAAGCGUGGGGAGCAAACAGGAUUAGAUACCCUAGUAGUC